UACGUAGGGGGCGAGCGUUGUCCGAAGUUACUGGGCGUAAAGCGUGCGCAGGCGGUUCGUUAAGUCAGAUGUGAAAGCCCCGGGCUCAACCUGGGAACUGCAUUUGAAACUGGCGGGCUUGAGUAUGGCAGAGGGGGGUGGAAUUCCGCGUGUAGCAGUGAAAUGCGUAGAGAUGCGGAGGAACACCGGUGGCGAAGGCGGAUCUCUGGGCCUUACCUGACGCUCAGGCGCGAAAGCGUGGGGAGCGAACAGG
rnacentral:rRNA from 1 species